CCACCACUCUUUCCCAAAUGUUUAUUCUUCCAGACAGGGCCUUCCAGAAAAUCCUGGAAAAGGCGGAAAAACACAAAUAAAUAAAUGGAGGGAAACGGAUAAAUACUAACAUACAGAGGUUACUCGAACUGCCUGCCCUGGGAUGUUGGCUUAGACCAGGCCUGGUGGGAUUAGUUUAAUGUGAAGAGGGUACCAACUACAAUCCUUUUUUUAACUGAGUUCUUGAGGAGAGCAUCCUCUUCAAAGCCAAGGGAGAAAAGAACCUCAAGAAAGAGAAACACCAGGGCUGGAGAGAUGGCUCAGUGGUUAAGAGCACUGUCUGCUCUUCCAGAGGUCCUGAGUUCGAUUCCCAGCAACCACAUGGUGGCUCACCACAUCCAACCGUUGCUAGUGAUUAUCUUUCUAGAACUUGGAAAUUCAGCGUUUUGCCUUUCAGAUUUUUUUGUUUGUUAUCUCUGAUUUUUUUCUAUGAAAAAAAUCAGUUGAUGAAUGCCGAAGCUGGAGAAUUGGAAAUCAUUGGUUUAUAGGUGAAAGGAGAGGAGAUUAAGUAAAAAAUGAUACAUUGUACUGGAACUCAAUCUGUAGGUGGAAGCGUGGAUGGCAAUCAUUGCACACAAAUAAAGAGCAGGCUGGAAAGCCUUUAGCAGGUGAGGUGGCAGGAGCAGG
rnacentral:lncRNA from 1 species